CCGCUCGCCGACGGCCGGGCAGACGCCUCAGGCCCGCGGCCCCCGCGACCCCCGCGACCGGGGCCCACCCAGCGGCUCCCCGAGGAGGGCGGGCGGUACAGGACGCCGAAACACAGAGAGGCAGAGACACAGGCAGACGGAGACAGAGGCUCCCUGCCGAGAACCCGGUGUAGGACUCCAUCCAGGGACCCCAGGAUUACACCCUGAGCCAAAGGCAGACACUCAACCACUGAGCCAUCCAAGUGUCCCAGCCACGUCCUCUUUAUCCCCUGAUGAUGCUCAAGAGGCACAUACAAGAUCUGACCAUGAGCUUUUCAAGGACAAGGCAGGGCCCAAGGCCAAGGACCAUGUCUCGAUCAUCUUUGGAUCCACAGUGGAUACUCAGUGUUCAGCACUUACUGAAUUGCACAGAAGAGUAAAGAAAAGAGCACUGGUGGAUUACUCAGCUCCGGCUGCCCUAACAAAAUACUACAGGCCGAGUGACUCAAACAACAGAUCUUUAUUUUCUGGAUGCUGGAAGUCCCAACAUGAAGGUACCAACAAAGCUAGUUUCUACUGCGGCUCCCACCCUUGGCUUGCAGGUGGCCACCUUCUGGCUGCUUCCUCAUGUGGCCUUGUCUUCUGUGCUUGUGUGGAGAGAGAGUAUCUCAUCCUCUUCCCACAAGGAUGCCUGUCCUGCUGGAUUAGGGCCCUACCUUUAUGACCUCGUUUAACCUUAAUUAGGUUCUUAAAGGUUCUCUCUACAAAUAGAGUCACAUUGAGGGGUAGGGCCUCAACCUAUGAGUUUUAAGGACACAAAACUCCAUCCAUAACAACUGGUUGAACUUGAAUUUAGAAGAUAAGAGCUCAGGUACUGACUUUCUCUGAACCCAGUUGAGUGCUUUUAGGCAGCAAAUCCAUUAUGCUCUCCAAACCUCAACUUCUGUGACAUGUGGCCAGUUUUAUGGAGUCGUUGAGAGGCUGAAAUGAGACCGUGGCUGGAGGACAUUUUGUGAACUAUAAAUUCCUGCACCUGGUAAUGAUUUAAUUAUUCCUUCUACAACUAUAUCAUCUUGCAGUUUACAAUGUGACUUAAAACGUAUGUAUCCUUCAACAGAUGUACAAGGAAUUACUGUUACUGUUAUUAUUACUACAGGAAUACCUAAAAGGAAAGUUUGUUUAUAAUCCAUACUGCAGAAAGGAUUCAAGGCAGCUUCUGAGUAAAACUCUCACACAGGAGAGGGCAUUACCUAUCACUUCUCACAGAGGCUGUAGAAAAGGCCCAGGAAGCUGUUGAUCAAAUGAAUGACCACCAGGAGAAUCUGGAGGAGGCUGAUGCAUAGAAGGGUGGAGAAGAAGGACACGUGCCAAAUGACUGCUUUAGAAGGCUCCAGGCAGACAGAGUUCCAGAGUGAAUGAUCAUACAAAUAAUUCCUAUCCCAAAAAAUAAGGAGACCGGGGUUUGAGGAAUAAGUAAGAAAAGCCAAGUAAACAACCUCAAUAAAAACCUGGGGCCUAAAAAAAAAAAAACCUGGGGCCUUCCCCAGCCAGGGUCAUAGGCCUAGACUCUUCAGGGUAGCUAUUGUGGCUGCAUCUGCAAAAUUCUGAGCAUCAGAGAAGGGGGUGCUAGAACGCGUGACCAAGAGGAGUUUGUAGUCCAUCUGUGUGUCUUUCUGUCUGUCUUUCUGUAUCUCUCUGAAAAGACUGAAAAUCCAGGUCUCCAUCCACUUACCUGUUAUGCAAGUCUUGGAAUGGGUAACCGUAUUUCCAAGCUUGCGUUUGAUUGAAGGGUGAGCCAUCAAACAUGCAAAAUGGACCAUCUUUCAGGGCUACACCGGAAGUGAUAAAGCAAAUCAAGGCUCCAAGAGAAGCCAGGCCACUGGACAGCAGAGCAGUGAGUAUCUGUAGAGGGAGAGAAGCCAUAAGGUGAGACAGGGUCAUGACCAGGUGAUGGAGUGAUCUGGACAAGUCGAACUUCCCUGGCACUCAGGCUCUUCCCCAUCAUAUCACAUGGGGAUAAUGCUGCCCCUGGCACAUCCUUUAAAGAAUAACCAAGGCAGGGUGGCUGAUGAGCGGUCAGUGGAUAGAGCCGGGAGGGGUGGGAGAGAAAGCCCUGAGAAGGGGAAGCAGUGGAACCUGGACCUCGGUCUCCCUGGCCCAGUAGGCUCUCCAGGUUGGCAUAAAAAACUUUUAUAUUCAGGGGCCGCCUGGGAGGCUCAGUCAGUUACCGACUCUUGAUUUCAGCUCAGGUCACAAUCUCGGGGUCUUGAGAUAGAGCCCUGCAUCAGGCUCUGGGCUAAGCAUGGCAUCUGCUUAAUAUUCUCCCUCUUGUUCUCCCUCUACCUACCCCCUCCCCACUCAUGCAUGUGCACUCUCUCUCUCUCUCUCUCAAAUAAAUAAAUCUUAGGAAAAAACCUUUUACAUAGCCUCUGGGUAGAAGGGUUGGAUGGUCAUCGCCUUCCCAUUUCCGACUCUUAGAAGGGAAAGCUGUAUUCUCAAAAGUUCCAAGCUCCUACCCCUAGUUCCUCUCUUUCUCAAAUCAAGCAUGAAAGGAAACAAGGGAGGUAGGAGGGAAGGGGUUAGAAAAGAAGGGAAGGAGGGAGACAGACAGAAAUUACAGUCAGCUCUGAAGUGACUCCAGUUGUGUCAUUGUACUUCUAGUCUGUGCACCACUCACUUCCCUCCCAAAACAAAACGAGUGCAUUUCCUUGGCAGGAUUCUAGCUUGCUUUUAAAUUGGCUUCUUUCUGAGAAUACUAGGUCAUUUUAUCCCUUCCAAAGACUACAUAUUUUAAGAAUUUAAAUAAAACAUAUAUAUAUAUACACACAUAUAUAUGUUUAUUUAAAGCUAUAUGUGUGUGUGUGUGUAUAUAUAUAUGUGUGUGUGUGUGUAUAUAUAGCUUUUAUACAGAAUCGUGGAGUCUUCUUCCCACGAUGUCAGGCUGGUUUGGAGGUUGGGAGGAGCCAGGGAAAUGCUCAAAAUGUGAUCCUGGCCCUGACAGCAUCACAUCACCUGAAAACCUGUUAGAAAUGCACACUUUCUGGUUCACACCAACCUCUGAAUCAGAAAAAUCUAGGGGUGGAGCACCAGGGGGGUUCAGUAGGUUAAGCGUCCGAUUCUCGAUUUCAGCUCAGGUCAUGAUCUCAGGGUUGUGAGUUCAAGCCCUACAUGAGGCUCAGUGCUGGGCCUGGAGCCUGCUUCAGAUUCUUUCUCUUCCUCUAGCUCUCUGCUCCAGCCCCCUCCCUCUAAAAAAAAUAGUCAACUCUCAUCUCUCCUACCUUCUCCUUUCCUCAGAGAAUAUAUCCUAAGAGAGAGAGAGAGAGAGACUGUCUGGGGUGGGGCCCAGCAAUCCGUUUUAACAAACCCUGCAGGGAUUCUGAUACACAAGUGUGAGAACCACUCACUCGCCCAGGGAAAACCUGACCAGACUGAGAACAGAUAGUGAAUGAAAUGUGUGGGUGUUUAUAUUUAAUUCUUCAACAUGUAAUUCUGAAUCAGUGGGGUUUCCAAUAUGUGGGCUGCAGAUAUCAAAGUAGGCUACAGCCUACUGUAGCCUGUAAGGAGUUACUGUAAGGAGUCCACAAAUUCGUGUGUCUGAGACUGAAUAAGCAAUAUAUAUGUACUGAGAUUUUUCAGAUAUGUAUAAAUGCCACUGUAAUUUACUCUGGGCCUCAAUUUCAUUUUCGGUAAAAUGGAGGAGUUAGACUAGAAUAAAGUCAUUAGAUGAUUUCUGGAAAACCUUUCAACUCUAAGAAAAAAUAGCCAGGAAGUUUUCUUUUUUUUCUUUUUAUUAAGUAGGCUCCAGGGCAGCCCGGGUGGCUCAGUGGUUUAGCACCGCCUUCAGCCCAGGGCCUGAUCCUGGAGACCUGGGAUCAAGUCCCACG